rnacentral:misc_RNA from 1 species
UUCGCAACGUAACAUACUUUAUAUUUACCGAGAAGUAAAUUAAAAAACUUUCCACGCCGUCUGUUUUAAUAAUCAUACGAAACAAGACAGGCCAAUGGGAUUUCUCCCCUGCUCGAACAAUUAUCACGCGCAACAAGAUUUUUCUCCGUGCUUUCUAAAGAUUUCCACUUUGCCAGCCUUUAUUAUCGUUUCUUCAAAUGUAAUUUCGCAACGUAAAUUCGAAUAGCAAAAAUCUAUACGGUUCAAUUAGAACAACUCCGCCAACAAUAAACGAACAAUGUACCUUAGUUUCAAUGGAAGGAACGGCACGGACGAUACACGAAAUAGCAGCAAUGACACAUCAUUAUUCGCAGUGAAACGAAAUUAUGUAGGAAUGGCAGAUAUUUGCAUUGCGGGGCAGCAUUCGCAUACAAAGCAAUACAAUGGAUCAUUUCAAUCCAAACGUAUCGCUUUUUGCAGCCGUGGGCGUCG